AACCUGUGCAGUUCUUCCAUAUAUAUUUCCACAAUUAUCAUGCAGCACAAGAAAAUUCAGCUCAAAAAGGAAAAAAAAGAGGAAGAAAACAAAAUGCAAGCAAAUAACAAAAAGAUCAGAAAGUUAAAGGACAUUACUGAAAGUAGGGAAUUCAGAAAAUUGUCUCUGGAGCAAUUCCACAGAAAUAACUCCUCAACCUGAGAAACAUCAAUAUCAGACGUCAAGUUAUUAGACAUCCCUCAGUCUUUGGAACAGUCUUUCUGCUUUCUUCAACCACCAUUGACUCAUCAUUGCCAACACUUUCACCUUGCUCCCUGAGCACAGGCAAGACAAACCUGGCUCGAAAAGGCAUGGUCCAGCUUUAUAUUCUUGUCACUGAAUUGAAUAGAAGCUAAUGAAUGAAAGUUAAGAGAGAUCUGCAAUUUCUGAUCUGAUUUAGAGAUUUUCAGUCUGUCUAAGGGGGAACCUUUCUGCCAUUCAAAGUGUAUAAAACCAGAAUGGGAUGCCUUUGGGAGGAGUGAAUUGCCAGUCAACCACCAUAUCUCAAAGGUCAAUUUGGAUAAUGCUUUGUGAAGGUUGCUCCGAGGAUGCUUUGGAGAAGGUGGAGAAAUUGAGGGUAAAAUGGAUUAAGUGGCUUGCCUCAAAUUAUACAGCUAAUAAGUAUUUGAAAG
ensembl:lncRNA